rnacentral:rRNA from 1 species
GGUCAAGUUAUUAAGGGUGCAGGGCGGAUGCCUUGGCACUAGGAGCCGAUGAAGGACGUGAUAAGCUGCGAUAAGCUUCGGGGAGUUGCACGUAAACUUUGAUCCGAAGAUUUCCGAAUGAGGAAACUCACUUAGAGUAAUGUCUAAGUAUCGUUAAGUGAAUACAUAGCUUAGCGAGG